rnacentral:lncRNA from 1 species
UUCCGCCCGGAUGAAUGUUGAGAACUGUUUGGCCCAGCAGUCCCGCAGCCGCGGUAACGUUUCCUGCACUGACCAAACCUUGUAUUUUCUGAAACUGCCGAGUGAACGUAGUGCGACCGUGUUCGUCUAGCAGGCCUGAGCAGUAGAGGUAAUCGGCUGAGUUGAUUAUUUCUAAAAGCGGAAAGACAAAGCCAUUGCCAAGCAUCACGCCCUUCAAGCUCAACGAAACCUUCUGUGGUUGUGCCAGCAGUUUCUGUGCCAAGCCAAUAGCUGACCUUGCUGUAAAAGA